AAUCAACGCUGGCGGCGUGCCUAACACAUGCAAGUCGAACGAGAAAGUGGAGCAAUCCAUGAGUAAAGUGGCGACCGGGUGAGUAACACGUGACUAACCUACCCUAAAGUGGGGAAUAACCUCGGGAAACCGGGGCUAAUACCGCAUAACAUUGCGCGGCUGAAAGGCCAUGCAUUCAAAGGAGCAAUUCGCUUUAGGAGGGGGUCGCGGUUGAUUAGCUAGUUGGUGAGGUAAUGGGCNCACCAAGGCGAUGAUCAAUAGCCGGCCUGAGAGGGCGGCACGGCCACACUGGAACUGAAACACGGUCCAGACUCCUACGGGAGGC
rnacentral:rRNA from 1 species